UUGCUACCUGAGACCAUAGCGGCGGACGGGUGAGUAAUGCUUAGGAAUCUGCCUAUUAGUGGGGGACAACAUCUCGAAAGGGAUGCUAAUACCGCAUACGUCCUACGGGAGAAAGCAGGGGAUCUUCGGACCUUGCGCUAAUAGAUGAGCCUAAGUCGGAUUAGCUAGUUGGUGGGGUAAAGGCCUACCAAGGCGACGAUCUGUAGCGGGUCUGAGAGGAUGAUCCGCCACACUGGGACUGAGACACGGCCCAGACUCCUACGGGAGGCAGCAGUGGGGAAUAUUGGACAAUGGGGGGAACCCUGAUCCAGCCAUGCCGCGUGUGUGAAGAAGGCCUUAUGGUUGUAAAGCACUUUAAGCGAGGAGGAGGCUACUUUAGUUAAUACCUAGAGAUAGUGGACGUUACUCGCAGAAUAAGCACCGGCUAACUCUGUGCCAGCAGCCGCGGUAAUACAGAGGGUGCGAGCGUUAAUCGGAUUUACUGGGCGUAAAGCGUGCGUAGGCGGCUUAUUAAGUCGGAUGUGAAAUCCCCGAGCUUAACUUGGGAAUUGCAUUCGAUACUGGUGAGCUAGAGUAUGGGAGAGGAUGGUAGAAUUCCAGGUGUAGCGGUGAAAUGCGUAGAGAUCUGGAGGAAUACCGAUGGCGAAGGCAGCCAUCUGGCCUAAUACUGACGCUGAGGUACGAAAGCAUGGGGAGCAAACAGGAUUAGAUACCCUGGUAGUCCAUGCCGUAAACGAUGUCUACUAGCCGUUGGGGCCUUUGAGGCUUUAGUGGCGCAGCUAACGCGAUAAGUAGACCGCCUGGGGAGUACGGUCGCAAGACUAAAACUCAAAUGAAUUGACGGGGGCCCGCACAAGCGGUGGAGCAUGUGGUUUAAUUCGAUGCAACGCGAAGAACCUUACCUGGGCCUUGACAUACUAGAAACUUUCCA
rnacentral:rRNA from 1 species